rnacentral:rRNA from 1 species
UAGGGAAUCUUCCGCAAUGGACGCAAGUCUGACGGAGCAACGCCGCGUGAGUGAUGAAGGUUUUCGGAUCGUAAAGCUCUGUUGCCAGGGAAGAAGGCUCGGAAGAGGAAAUGCUUUCGAGAUGACGGUACCUGAGAAGAAAGCCCCGGCUAACUACGUGCCAGCAGCCGCGGUAAUACGUAGGGGGCAAGCGUUGUCCGGAAUUAUUGGGCGUAAAGCGCGCGCAGGCGGUUUCUUAAGUUUGGUGUAUAAGAUCGGGGCUCAACCUCGGGUGGCACUGAAAACUGGGAGACUAGAGUGCGGGAGAGGAAAGUGGAAUUCCACGUGUAGCGGUGAAAUGCGUAGAGAUGUGGAGGAACACCAGUGGCGAAGGCGACUUUCUGGACCGUAACUGACGCUG